rnacentral:rRNA from 1 species
GUACGGGAGGCAGCAGUGGGGAAUCUUGCGCAAUGGGCGAAAGCCUGACGCAGCGACGCCGCGUGAGUGAUGAAGGCCUUCGGGUUGUAAAGCUCUGUGGAAAGAGACGAAUAAGCAGCGGCCAACACCCGUUGCGAUGACGGUAUCUUUUUAGCAAGCACCGGCUAACUCUGUGCCAGCAGCCGCGGUAAGACAGAGGGUGCAAACGUUGUUCGGAAUUACUGGGCGUAAAGCGUGUGUAGGCGGCCGUGCAAGUCGGAUGUGAAAGCCCCGGGCUCAACCCGGGAAGUGCACUCGAUACUGCUCGGCUCGAGUGUCGGAGAGGUUGGUGGAAUUCUCGGUGUAGAGGUGAAAUUCGUAGAUAUCGAGAGGAACACCGGUGGCGAAGGCGGCCAACUGGACGAACACUGACGCUGAGACACGAAAGCGUGGGGAGCAAACAGGAUUAGAUACCCCGGUAGU